GGGUUCCAACUCGGGUGCCUGCAAGUUGGGUCUCCUGGCCACUUGAUGGGAGGCUGUGGACAUCUGGCAUCUCCUCCAUCCCCCGGAGCUCUGGCUCAGCCUUUGUGAUUCUAUGAUUCUCAGCGUUGGGACUGUGACUACGGAGACUUUAGAUCUGACCCGACGUGCUGAGCGCCGAGGCUGUGAUGGAUCGUAACGCUGAGUUAUUUGCAGCUCGGUGGCUGGCAGGCAUCUGUGAAGUCGUCUCAUUCUGAGAAUGGGCCUGUAAAACAGGUUUGGGAUGAAGGAUCCCCUUUCAAAAUGAAGGGCUGUCUGAAAGGGAGGGGGUCUGGUGCUG
rnacentral:lncRNA from 1 species